UGCAGUUGAGGGGUACAGGGAUUAGUUUACUAGUCUGCUGACGACCGGCGCACGGGUGAGUAACGCGUAUACAAUUUACCUUUUACAGGAGGAUAGCCCAGAGAAAUUUGGAUUAAUACUCCAUGGUAUUAUCGGAUCGCAUGGUUUGAUAAUUAAAGUUUCGGUGGUAGAAGAUGAGUAUGCGUCCUAUUAGCUGGUUGGUAAGGUAACGGCUUACCAAGGCGACGAUAGGUAGGGGUCCUGAGAGGGAGAUCCCCCACACUGGUACUGAGACACGGACCAGACUCCUACGGGAGGCAGCAGUGAGGAAUAUUGGUCAAUGGAGGCAACUCUGAACCAGCCAUGCCGCGUGCAGGAAGACUGCCCUAUGGGUUGUAAACUGCUUUUAUACAGGAAGAAACUUAUCCACGUGUGGAUAACUGACGGUACUGUACGAAUAAGGACCGGCUAACUCCGUGCCAGCAGCCGCGGUAAUACG
rnacentral:rRNA from 1 species